UGCCAGCAGCCGCGGUAAUACAGAGGGUGCAAGCGUUAAUCGGAAUUAUUGGGCGUAAAGCGCGUGUAGGCGGUUCGUUAAGUCUGAUGUGAAAGCCCGGGGCUCAACCCCGGAAGUGCAUUGGAAACUGGCGAACUUGAGUACGGGAGAGGAAAGUGGAAUUCCGAGUGUAGGGGUGAAAUCCGUAGAUAUUCGGAGGAACACCAGUGGCGAAAGCGACCUUCUGGCCCGUUCCUGACACUGAGGCGCGAAAGCUAGGGGAGCAAACAGGAUUAGAUA
rnacentral:rRNA from 1 species